UAAAAUUUAAAAUUAUAAAUAUAUUAGAUUAUUAAUUGUUAUUAUCUUGAAAUUUAAAAAAUUUGACGGUAUUUUAUCUAUUCAGAGGAACUUGUUUUUUAAUUGAUAAUCCUCAUUAUAUCUUUCUUAUAUUAUAAAAUUUAUAUACCGUCAUUAUAAAAAAAUCUUUAUAAAGAAUAAAUUUUUAAUUUAAAUAUUUAUUAUUUAAUAUUUUAGAUCAAGGUGUAGUUUAUAUUUAAGUUAAAAUGAGUUACAAUAAAUUUAUUUAAAUGGAAUAAUUUAUGAAAUUAAUUUAUAAAGGUGGAUUUGUUAGUAAAUUUAUUUAAUAAAUUAAAUUGAAAUUAGAUCUAAAAUGUGU
rnacentral:rRNA from 1 species